CUGCUCAAUGGAAUUUUUAAAUUGCUGUGGUAUUUUGACUAUACAAAGGUAUUGUAAUAAGACUUUAAUUGAGAGCUAAAAGAAUGGAUUAGCAAAAAAAUUCUUUCUUAAAUUUAAAAGUUGAAUUUAUUUUUAUUUGUGAAGAAACAAUAAUUUAAAUUAAGGACAAGAAGACCCUAAGAAUUUUUAAAUUGUUUUAAUAAUAUAACUUAUUAAUUUAAUUUUUAAUUGGGGCGAUUAUUGAAUAUGAAUAACUUUAAUAAUUUUAAUAUGAUCCAUUAAUAAUGAUUUAAUGAAUUAAAUACUCUAGGGAUAACAGCGUAAUAAUUUUAGAUAGAACCUAUAGAAAAAAUAGUUUGCGACCUCGAUGUUGGAUUAGGAUUCUUAUUUAAUGAAGAAGUUAAAAAAAGAAGUUUGUUCAACUUUUAAAAUCCUACUUGAUCUGAGUUCAGACCGGA
rnacentral:rRNA from 1 species